GAUGAAGAACGCAGCGAAAUGCGAAAAGUAGUGUGAAUUGCAGAAUUCAGUGAAUCAUCGAAUCUUUGAACGCACAUUGCGCCCCCUGGUAUUCCGGGGGGCAUGCCUGUUCGAGCGUCAUUUCACCACUCAAGCCUCGCUUGGUAUUGGGCAACGCGGUCCGCCGCGUGCCUCAAAUCGACCGGCUGGGUCUUCUGUCCCCUAAGCGUUGUGGAAACUAUUCGCUAAAGGGUGUUCGGGAGGCUACGCCGUAAAACAACCCCAUUUCUAAGGUUGACCUCGGAUCAGGUAGGGAUACCCGCUGAACUUAAGCAUAUCAAUAAGCGGAGGA
rnacentral:misc_RNA from 1 species